rnacentral:rRNA from 1 species
GGACCCGCACAAGUAGUGGAGCAUGUGGUUUAAUUCGAAGCAACGCGCAGAACCUUACCAACCCUUGACAUCCUGUGCUACUACCAGAGAUGGUACGUUCCCUUCGGGACGCAGUGACAGGUGCUGCAUGGCUGUCGUCAGCUCGUGUCGUGAGAUGUUCGGUUAAGUCCGGCAACGAGCGCAACCCACAUCUUUAGUUGCCAGCAGGUUAAGCUGGGCACUCUAGAGAAACUGCCCGUGAUAAGCGGGAGGAAGGUGUGGAUGACGUCAAGUCCUCAUGGCCCUUACGGGUUGGGCUACACACGUGCUACAAUGGUAGUGACAAUGGGUUAA